UUUUCGAGGGAGAAGUGGGCUGGUUCUUAAUGGACGAAGCAGCAUUUGAGAUGAUACUUGAAGGAGACAUAGAAGAGACAGCCACCACACAAGAUGGGGACACUUAGAGCCUUCUCUUCUGUAUCUCCAGUCCCCAGGACCUCUAAAAUUUACUAUGUGAAAGAAUGGACAGGAAUAGUAGCAAAGAUAAAAACACCAUCUGUGUCCUCCUACGGCUUUGGGUUCUGACUGUUAGAGCAGUCUGUGUUUAAAUCCUCACACUUAUUUUGCAUCAAAAUAGAAGAAUCCUAGUGAAUCAAGUACCACCUUUCAUUUGUAAACUUGCAUUUCACCAUUCCAGUUUUAAGUAAUGUUUCCACAUGAAUGCUGAAAGUUUCUCAGGACUUUUUGUUAAGAUGUAAAGCAUUUAUAUUUGAUUUAAGAAAUACCUUUGCAUAUCUCUGCCCCUAAGCACUUGAAGACACUAUAAAUGAAAGCAAAGGAUAAGUUACUGGUAACCCUCAGCCUAAUAUGUUUUCUCUCUCUUAAUUUUCAAGUACAUGUAAAUUGGAAAGUACAGAUUUUACUGCUCAGUAACCGAAUCUGUGGUUUUAUUUUGGAAGAAAACAAGUGUUUACUUUCCAAAAUGUGGUUGUGGAAGGCUGGUUUAUGUUAAGAUACCCUCUGGAUUCAGGUGGUGUCUUCCCUCCUACUUGUCAUGUAUCAGCAUCAAAGGUUCCCUUAUUUUAGAUAUUUACAGAUAUUGCAUGGAUAUAUGUGUGUUAUAGAUGUGGUUUGUAAAGUUAAAGUUCUUGAUAAUGAAUAAUUAAACUCCAGUGGAGAAAAUAAACUGUAAGGAAACAGCCAGUCAGUUUCCUGUGAAAAGUGAGAGAACUCAAUGCUGAGUGUGUAGUUCUUUAGAGAUCGGAAGCCAGAUCUCUCAGGGCAACACCACCCUUUUUGCACAUUUCAGCAGAAACUGGGUCCCUGGUUAAAGGGAUAGAAAGACUUUAUUCUCUGAUUUUAUUAAUGAUUGUUGGAAAUAGUUUGAUUAUCCGGAAGUUCAGCUUCACAUGUUAACUUAAAUUGUCUACAAUACUUUAAUCCCUGUAACUGCUGUCUCCCUCUACCCCAAACUGAAUUGCCUUUGUAAAAUAUCAGACUGCUUGCUUGGGCAAAUUAAUCCCUUUGUCUCUGAGAGACAGAAAUAGUUUUAUGGCUUAAAAUCUCGUGUGUGUGUGUGUGUGUGUGUGUGUGUGUGUGUGGUGUUUAAGCUGUUUUUCUCUCAACAGAAGCUUCAUUUCUAUUUCUGCAACAGGGAGAAUGAACACAUUUUAUUACUUAAAAUUUCAGUUGAUUGUUUUAAUGACCAAGUAUCUAUUGUUCAAUAUCCACCCCCCAUGCUACAUUCAAAUCUGCACAUUUCAUGUGAUAUAGUAUAAUAUAAGAAGUUACUUAUCAGGCUACAUAGUUAAUGAUUCUAUGAUUUCUAUGUUUCCUAAAGCAAGCAAAGUGCCAAAUCCUCGUGAAUAACAAGAAACACUGAUAUGCUUUUAAUGGAAGCUUUUUUCUUUUCUAGAAAUUCAAAGUGUCUACAGCGUCGAAAUGGAUUAACAAUGCACAGCCCAAAAGUAGCAUGACAUUAGCAAUGUACAGAGGCUGGGCAUUUUUUUUUCACAUCAAAACAUCGUAAAGUUGAAUUUAUGCAACAGAUAUUCUCAACUCCUGCCUUACACUGAAGAAGCAGCUGUUGUCCAAGCACACAGUUCAUGUUGUGUGAGGAUGAAGAAGUCUCUCGUGCAUGUUUUUAGUACUUCCUCUGUCCCCAGCUAGUAUCUGCUAGACAAGUCACAAAGGCCACCCAGAGGAUAGCAACAGAUGAUCUCUUUGAAGGUUUUCCUCAGCUCUUGGCUCCGGAGUGCAUAAAUGAGAGGGUCGAUGAUGGAGUUACACAUGAUCAGAAUGAGGUACAAGUUAAAGUGAGACAUGAAGCACACACAGUAUGGAUUCUGGGGACAAGAGAUGUAGAAUAUCAAGUGGAGGAAGAAUGGGCCCAGCAGACGACGAAGACCCCAAUGAGUAUGGUCAAGGUAAUGGCACCCUUCAUGUUGGCCCCUUGGCGGAUGGUGCCGGUGCCCGGGAGGACGGCGAUUCUCUUGAUGUGCAGUCUGGCCAUGAGGAACAUGUGGACGUAGAGAGAAGCCAUGAGGGCCAGCAUGGUGAAGAACAUGGUGAUGAGGCAGAUGAUGACAGCAGUACUGUCCGAGUAAAUGAUGAACAAGAUGCCUGACACCGUGCAAGCCGCCCAGAUGCAACUGAUGAUGAUCCCAACCCGCCUCACCGUCAUGAUGUUAUGGUACUGGAGGGCAUAAAAGAUAGUAAAGUACCUGUCCACUGCAAUUGAGAGCAGGCUGCAAAUCGAGGCGAGCAAGGAGCUACAGAUCACCGAGUCAAUGACAUUAUCAAUAUUCACCGUGAAACUCUGCGCGUCCGUAUCCGUACUGUUCAACAGGGUGAUGACGAUGGUCUCUGACCCGUUGGAAACGCUCACCAGCAUAUCGGCCACAGCCAGGCUACAGAUGAAAAAGUACAUGGGUGAGUGCAGAUUCUUGUUCUUGGCUAUUGCCACGAUCACCAGAAUGUUCUCCAGCAAGCUUAUGACCCCCAGAGUCACGAACACCUCCGGGGAGACGAAGAGUUGCUCGUAGCAUCCCCCGUCGGGGUAGCCUUUGCCAAGGGACUCAGUGGCGUUGCCGUGCUGUCCGUAGGUGC
rnacentral:lncRNA from 1 species